GUUGCGACGAGGGGCUAAUCCCUGUGUCCUCCGUCUCCGCGGAGCGCUCAAGGAAGCGCCCGUGAUCGCAGGCGGAGGUUCCGCGGCACGGACCUGAAGGAGUAGAAGGCGAGCGCGAGACGGCGACGGAGGGGUCAAGAAGCGGGUCGAGGUCAGUAGCGGUGGAGAGUGGAUGGAUGACGAGUAUCUCCUCGAAGAAUUCGGCCGCUGCGCCGGUCGCGUCCGGUAACAUAUCACCUCCCGGUGUUCCAAAAUCUCACUCUCUGUCUAGCCUUGUGUUUUCCUAGCUGACGAUAACAUGAAAGAAGGACCCCUCCGCGUUGCCUCUCUGGGCGACGGGAGGGGCGACUCCACCGCCCCACAGAAGCCUCCGCCAGCGGCCCCCUCCGGCCGCCACCGCUGCAGCCUGUCGAGCGGCGGCGGCGGCCCGCGACGGCGCCGAAGCCGGUCCCCUCGCACCACAUCUCCUCCCCCCUUCCCCCAUGUUCUCUUUCUCACUGUGUCGGGCUUGGAGCUCCAGUAGCGCCCAUGGCAAUGGCGGCCGGCCAAGGUAGCGGAUCCGGGGUCUCCUGGGCCAGAUCCGGUCCCUACUCUAUCGGAUCUGGGGUGCUGGCGACGGGACGGAGACGUGAGUGCCGGCGGUGGUGGGUCUCCUGUUCCCCGUUCGGGUGCGAGAGCAGCCAUGCCCGAGCAUGGCACCCGGACUCGGUGCAUCCACGGUGCUUGGUUUCGGCAUGGGGCUGGUCGUGCUCGUGCCCCGGGCCGGCGGUGGCAGGGCUCGAGCUCUCAAGGCCGACGGCAGCGGGGUCGAGCUCGACUCGCUGCGGCGGGGCACGAGCCCGUCCGGCCGGUGGAGACGUGGCUGUGCAACCAGCGCUUGGCCAAGAGCCCCCACGGCCUCCGCGCCGCUCUCGAGGUGCCCGACGACGCGAGGGGUCGGCGUCCUGCCGCUCUUUCAAGUCGUGCUCCCCAGCUUCUCUUCAAGGGCGGCGAAGGCUCCCCGUCAUUCUCGGUGCCUGCGCUGCGCCGACGGGUCGGGAACUCGCCGGGGGAAAUCCUAGCCCGGCGUUAUGCCGUUGCCGACAACAACGACCCCUACAGGUGCCGUUUCCUCCAUGGAGGUGUUGUUUCGAGGCGUUCCCACCCACAUGUUGGUAUGGCCGCGCUUGCGCUGGUUGGAGCGACGCCGGUUGGGAUGGUUCAGUCAGGAGAAAUCCUAGCCCAGCUUUGGCUGGUGCCAUCACCGACGACGCCCUCAGGCGCCGUGGUCCUCCUUGGAGGUGAUGAUGAGAUCGCCCAUCCCGAACUACUGUCGUCCGCCAUGCCACAAAGCUGGUUUGUUCUGCUUGGUGUUCUUAUGCCUUCCUCCUCCUUACUGUUCGUUGGCGAGGCUGUCAUUGGCUGUUUGCCGCCGGCGUGAUUCGGUGAGCGUCCUCUCCUGGGGCCUCUAUUUCGUCAAUGCUCUCCUUGUUGAUGGUGUCAGAAAAUCAAAUGCCGGGUGGUGUAUCCACCGCAUCUGCCAUUCCCCCUCAAGGAUUCCUCCCCUCGAGCGGCGUUGAAUGGUGGUACGUGGAGCUCGGAUGUGCUGGAGGUGGCGCCGUCAGCUCCAAGGGAGGUCGUCGUUUUCCGGUAAGCUUUGGCUUGCGCGUCCUUUCGCCGCUCUAAGUCCCCUUCCUGCUGCGCGGUCACUCAGAUGGAGGGCAGCAGCGGGACGGCGUAGCUACGAGGGGUGGGGCAAGGUGCAACGGUCAUAGUGUAACCGGCAAGUACGUUGUUCGGUGGAGGCGCAAAUCGGUGAUCAAUGGUUGUCUUUCGGUUGUGACAUGUUUUGUCUUUGAAUUGUCUACGAGUUGUGUUCCUCCCGUUCCUCUGUUGUACUCUGGUGUUGUAUCUACCCGUCCCCUUCUACUUCCAUCCUGGCUCUUGAAGCCACUGUAACCGCGCAAAUGUUAUACCAUCGCCGGCUUGCCGGCAUACGUGGUAAUAUAAUUUAGGUGGGACUCUUCGUCCCCCGGUGACCCGUCAAAAAAUUAUGUAUAUAUAUGAAAUUCAUGUGACAAACGGCUCCCAUUUUGUGGUAAUUUUGCCCUUAUAUGUCACAUUGCAUUUGCAACCGUGUUGGUGUUGCUGCAGAUUUUCUACCUAGAUUUAGGGGCGGCGGGUUGCGGAGUACGGCAUGGUGUCCAGCACUCGCCCAGCAUGCGGCACCGCGGCCACGCAGACGCAGCAGACGGGGCCCGUGUAGGCCAGGUAGGAGAUGAGCGGCGAAGGGCGAGGGUUUCUGAAAACGAGGCGGCGGCCAGCGGCCGGCGGCGAGGGAGGUCUAGGUCUCGAGGGAGAAGGCCAAGCGCUCGUAGGAGCCAGCGACAAGGCGAGUGCUUAGUUUUCUUUUUAUCGGAAGUUAACGUAGAGGUAACGGGAAUGGUAGAACGCAAUAACAGAGCAAUCUUUCAAUGAUAAAUAUCUAAACCAGUGGUAUUUUUCUGAAGUGCGG
rnacentral:lncRNA from 1 species